rnacentral:rRNA from 1 species
GAUGAACGCUGGCGGCGUGCCUAACACAUGCAAGUCGAGCGAACAGAUCCGGCGCUUGCUCCUCUGACGUUUGCGGCGCACGUGUGAGUAACGCGUGUAUACCCCCCCUAUCAGACUGGUAUAACUUCGGGACACCGGCGCUAACCCCGGAUAAUCUCUUGAUCCGCAUGGUUCAUUGGUGAAAUUCGGUUGUGCGGGAACUUAUAGAUGGAUCUGCGCCGCAUGAGCUAGUUGGUAAGGUUACGGCUUACCAAGGCGACGAGGCGUAGACGAACUGAGAGAGUGAUCGGCGACACGGGAACGUAGACGCGGUCCAGAGUCCUACGAGAGGCAGCAGAAGGGAAUCGGCCGCAAUGGGGGAAAGCCUGGCAGAGCGACGCCGCGUGAGAGAUAGAGAUCUUGGGAUCGUGAUACUCUGUUAUGAGGGAAAAACAAAUGUGUAAGUAACUAUGGACGGCUUGACGGUACCGGAUCAGGAAGCAACGGCUAACUACGUG